UACGAAGGUGGCAAGCGUUGUUCGGAUUUACUGGGCGUAAAGAGCACGUAGGCGGUUGGGAAAGCCUCUUGGGAAAUCUCCCGGCUUAACCGGGAAAGGUCGAGAGGAACUAUUCAGCUAGAGGACGGGAGAGGAGCGCGGAAUUCCCGGUGUAGCGGUGAAAUGCGUAGAUAUCGGGAAGAAGGCCGGUGGCGAAGGCG
rnacentral:rRNA from 2 species